GCUGGAUAGCUCAGGUGGUUAGAGCAUGGUGCUGAUGAUGCCCAGGUUGCAGGUUCGAUCCCCGCAUGGGACAGCUGCA